rnacentral:rRNA from 1 species
GAUGAACGCUGGCGGCGUGCCUAAUACAUGCAAGUCGAGCGAACGGACGAGAAGCUUGCUUCUCUGAUGUUAGCGGCGGACGGGUGAGUAACACGUGGAUAACCUACCUAUAAGACUGGGAUAACUUCGGGAAACCGUAGCUAAUACCGGAUAAUAUUUUGAACCGCAUGGUUCAAAAGUGAAAGACGGUCUUGCUGUCACUUAUAGAUGGAUCCGCGCUGCAUUAGCUGGUUGGUAAGGUAACGGCUUACCAAGGCAACGAUGCAUAGCCGACCUGAGAGGGUGAUCGGCCACACUGGAACUGAGACACGGUCCAGACUCCUACGGGAGGCAGCAGUAGGGAAUCUUCCGCAAUGGGCGAAAGCCUGACGGAGCAACGCCGCGUGAGUGAUGAAGGUCUUCGGAUCGUAAAACUCUGUUAUUAGGGAAGAACAUAUGUGUAAGUAACUGUGCACAUCCUGACGGUACCUAAUCAGAAAGCCACGGCUAACUACGUG